rnacentral:tRNA from 1 species
GAAGUUGUAGCUCAGUGGUAGAGUGCGUGCUUAGCAUGCACGAGGUCCUGGGUUCAAUCCCCAGUACUUCCA